UGCCAGGACAACAGGGCUGCUGCUGGCAGAGGUUGCGGUUCGUCCCACAAAGCGGAGCUUGGAGGCACCAGGAGGAUGUGGAACAACAGCCAAGGAACGCCUGGAGGGGUGCCGCCACCACAAGUGCAGAUCUGCCCCCCUGGCCCUGCAACAUACCCCGGGCCCUGCGUGCC